AUCUUCAGUAUCAUUCUAUUCUGAUUACAUUAAUAGUAACGUUCGAUAUUGCAUCUUGGCUAAAUGUGCCUUUGCUUGAACGGAUAAAAUAUUAUUCCCGAAAGAUACGAUGAAUAUUCUUAGGAACAAAAUGAUUAAUUUUGCAACGCAAUCAAAUGAUAGAGAACUAUUUUAGAAAGAUACAAUUAAUGGUCUUCAGAAUUAAUUGAGUAUUUUAGCAACACGCACACACUUUUUCGCUGUCACAUCAACACGCGUUGUCGAACUUAGUAAAAAAAAUUUUUCUCCCGGAUGAGAUUGGGCAAAUUUUAUUACGUUACGAAUCUGGAACCGGAAGACGAAGGCUUCGAAGAAGGAUAUAUGAGGGCUGGAGGACUGGAGGAAAAAUCCGAAGAAACUUUUUCUUCCGAAGACAUUCCAUUGGUUCGGAAGGAAGAGCAUCACUACCCGCCGACCACUGUAGCAGCAGCGCAUUAAGAAAGGUUCGGCAGUGCCGCAGCAGCAGGCUGAAGUUCGUAAUUGCUGCAGCGAUGGAGCAUCCGGAAGCUGUUCCUGCAAACAUCCGCAGAAGGUUUGUUUUUUUGAUAAUUCAUUUUAGAGGAAUAAUAAACUAUAUGUUAAAUAAAAUGAAUUAAAGUACA